UACGACUACAUAUCAGGCAUAUCAAUAAGCGGAGGAAAAGAAACUAACUAGGAUUCCCUUAGUAACGGCGAGUGAAGCGGGAAGAGCUCAAAUUUGAAAUCUUCAAGGUUCUACCUUGACGAAUUGUAGUUUAAAGAAGUGUUUUCUGUUGGAGUUUUGGUAAAAGUUCUUUGGAAUAGGACAUCAUAGAGGGUGAGAAUCCCGUAUUUGACCAUUUCUUCCAGCUGUGUGAUACACUUUCAAAGAGUCGGAUUGUUUGGGAAUGCAGUCCAAAAUGGGUGGUAAAUUUCAUCUAAAGCUAAAUAUUGGCGAGAGACCGAUAGCGAACAAGUACCGUGAGGGAAAGAUGAAAAGAACUUUGAAAAGAGAGUUAAACAGUACGUGAAAUUGUCAAAAGGGAAGCGUUUGACACCAGUGUUGUUUUCUCGAAAAUCAAUUAAAAAUGGCCGGAUUUUGUGUUGUAUUGACUUUAUCAGCUUUCUGCACUUUUUUCUUGUCUUUUUUAAUGCACUUUUCGUUUAACAAGUCAACAUCAAUUUCUUUUGUUGUAAAAGAGUCAUUGGAAGGUGGCUUUCACUUCGGUGAAAGUGUUUAUAGCCUUUGACUUCUGCAAUCGGAGAGAUUGAGGUCUGCAGCGUAGAUCCUUCGGGGUUAGAUACAUUUGUGCUAAGUUAUAGUUUUUCAUAGACAACAUGUUGACUAUGAUUAAUCAUGUAGCUUACUCGCUUAUGCUAUUUUACCUACGCUUAGGAUGUUGAACGCGCACAGAGUCUC
rnacentral:rRNA from 1 species